rnacentral:rRNA from 1 species
GAUGAACGCUGGCGGCGUGCUUAACACAUGCAAGUCGAACGAUGAAGCUCAGCUUGCUGGGUGGAUUAGUGGCGAACGGGUGAGUAACACGUGAGUAACCUGCCCUUAACUCUGGGAUAAGCCUGGGAAACUGGGUCUAAUACCGGAUAGGAGCGUCCACCGCAUGGUGGGUGUUGGAAAGAUUUAUCGGUUUUGGAUGGACUCGCGGCCUAUCAGCUUGUUGGUGAGGUAAUGGCUCACCAAGGCGACGACGGGUAGCCGGCCUGAGAGGGUGACCGGCCACACUGGGACUGAGACACGGCCCAGACUCCUACGGGAGGCAGCAGUGGGGAAUAUUGCACAAUGGGCGCAAGCCUGAUGCAGCGACGCCGCGUGAGGGAUGACGGCCUUCGGGUUGUAAACCUCUUGCAGUAGGGAAGAAGCGAAAGUGACGGUACCUGCAGAAGAAGCACCGGCUAACUACGUG